rfam:Schistosoma haematobium scaffold87_11, whole genome shotgun sequence.
AGCCUUCUGAAUCUGUGCCGAGAUUUUGUCAGGCACCAGAUCAUCAGUACUGAUGAGAAUUCCGAGAUAAGUAAAGUG